GGUUCCCUGCGCUGUUGGUGAUCAGCGGAGUAUUGAGCCAACUCUCAUUGAUAGGGUAGCUCCGCUGUCAGCAGAUGGAGGUCGUCGCCGACUUCCUGCCGCUGGCAUGAGCACUGCCCACCUAUGUCCAAUAGGUUUAAUCAUUGCGCUGACACGGCAGGGUGGGGAUUUU
rnacentral:other from 1 species